GAUGAACGCUGGCGGCGUGCUUAACACAUGCAAGUCGAACGGAAAGGCUCCUGCUUGCAGGGGUACUCGAGUGGCGAACGGGUGAGUAACACGUGGGUGAUCUGCCCUGCACUUCAGGAUAAGCCUGGGAAACUGGGUCUAAUACCGGAUAGGACGAUGGUUUGGAUGCCAUUGUGGAAAGUUUUUUCGGUGUGGGAUGAGCUCGCGGCCUAUCAGCUUGUUGGUGGGGUAAUGGCCUACCAAGGCGUCGACGGGUAGCCGGCCUGAGAGGGUGUACGGCCACAUUGGGACUGAGAUACGGCCCAGACUCCUACGGGAGGCAGCAGUGGGGAAUAUUGCACAAUGGGCGCAAGCCUGAUGCAGCGACGCCGCGUGGGGGAUGACGGCCUUCGGGUUGUAAACUCCUUUCGCUAGGGACGAAGCGCAAGUGACGGUACCUGGAGAAGAAGCACCGGCUAACUACGU
rnacentral:rRNA from 1 species